rnacentral:rRNA from 1 species
UACGGGGGGGGGCAAGCGUUGUUCGGAAUUACUGGGCGUAAAGGGCUCGUAGGCGGCCAACUAAGUCAGACGUGAAAUCCCUCGGCUUAACCGGGGAACUGCGUCUGAUACUGGAUGGCUUGAAUUCGGGAGAGGGAUGCAGAAUUCCAGGUGUAGCGGUGAAAUGCGUAGAUAUCUGGAGGAAUACCGGUGGCGAAGGCGGCAUCCUGGACCGAUAUUGACGCUGAGGCGCGAAAGCCAGGGGAGCAAAGCGGG